rnacentral:tRNA from 1 species
CAAAGAAUAGUUUAGUUUAGAAUCUUAGCUUUGGGAGCUAGGGGUGGGAGUUAAAAUCUCCUUUCUUUGA